UUAAUGUGUUGUGUUUGUGAG
rnacentral:miRNA from 1 species